AACAAAAUUCAGUUAACUAUGAAGCUCUUAACUUUAGUUAACAAUUAACUUGAGAAUUCACUUCAUAAAAAAAUUGUAGUGAACAACCCAACCACAUAGAUGGUUUCCAGGCAACAAAUACACAUACGUGUCAUCCCCUCACAGAUGGGCACUGAUCAAAUAUUAAACAGAAAUACUAGUGUGACAAGAUUAACUUCUGUCAAAAAGUGUCCAAAAUUCAGUUAAGCCACUGUCGAACAUUCAGUGUCGUAAAUUCAGUUAAGCGUAUGCCAAAAAAAGUUCAGCAAUGCUAUUGUUGAAUUUUCAGCAUACCUGUACUGACUAUUUCUGAUAAAAUCAAAUCCACCUUCCCCUCACUAUUCAUUCAUAAUAUUUGUGGCUGUAGCCUACUAAUACAACUUGUAGGUACAGAAAACUUGUCUGCUGGUCGUGGAUCAAACCAAACAUGUCGGCAGCAGUACAGAGACAGUACAGACUUCGCUACUGAAUCAGCCUCAUAAUUACUCCUGCUACUCUUCUCAUGUUUAAAAGCUUGUUCCUAAAACCCGACAAAUGUGGUUUGCGCUUGUGCGGCAAAUAGUUCCUUAUGUAUGUCAUCUAGUCUGAAUUUUUUAUCGAUCACGAUUACCAAAAAAGAGGCAUCUUACUAACCCAUGCAUUACCACCGACAGGCUUGCAUUGUCGAUCAAGCCACUGACACGGCCGACCUGUCUGCGGCGGCAUCAAGCUCGACAGCCAACACGUUCAUCUCAUCACAGAAGGAGCAAAGGAGACGAUCGGUGCAGCGAUGACAUGGUCGCCGGCGCGGGCCAGGUCAAGGUAGAACUCACUAUCGAUGUCGAAGAAGGGUCCCUCACGAGCACCACCUUCCCCUGCAGCUUGCUCCAUGGUGCUGCCCCGUCCAUCUCCGAUCAUGACAAGGACAACAAUUGCCUGGUUGCAACUUCCAUAUCACAUACGUGGACACAGCCACUAUCUGACUGCUAUUCUAUCCCGCCAGUGCCUGUCGCUCCAUGAAUUCUUCUAAUAAAACCCUAAUGAAAGCAGGGUACAGAGGGGCAAAGGAGGCGAGGCAAUUCUCAGUUUCUCACCGUAUGGAGGGGCUGCAUCGACGGGUGCUCGCCGACGAGGCUCCGCCAUCCACGCCCGCGAUGAUCAAUGGCGUCGUCACGACCCCCCCAGGCGGCAACUCCGAACGAUCGAACUAGGAGAGUCGAGGAGAAGAGCUCGCGGCAGCACAAUCGAACUGACCUGCGACAUGUUAGGAUACGAGCGCGAAAUCAGGGUUGCGUUGUCCCACCAGCUCAGCGCCUUGUUUGCAAAAAUAAGAAAAAACGAAGGGGUUUUUCGAAAUAUUCCAGCCACCCACACGACCACACGCCUCUGUGCGCGCUCGCAGUCGCUGUCAAUGGGUCCUGCAGACACGCUGGCAUCUAGUCAGCAGCGCGGACGUACGAAAGCGUGAUUUGAACCGUAUUUUAAACCAAAGAGCCAAGUUUUUACCCUAGUUCAGCGUAUUCUUCAAAUUUAUGCAUCAAAAUGAACAUUGAUGGCAAGUGUGAACAUUGGUGGCAAGUUGAGACACCACCAGUGUAAUCACCUCUACAUCAAUUGGUCAAAGUGCACCGGAAAGGUAAGCUUUGCCAAUGCACCCAGAAUAGAAAAUUAAGACAAGACAGACCAAUACUAAAAUGUAGGGAAACGCUUGUUAUCUAUAAUGUCCAGCAUCAGACCAUUCCAACGCCAUCCAUUCAAUUGAAAUCCGAUGCCUCACAAACUGAGUUGCUUUUGUAAAAAAGAAAACAUCAAUAGGGAAUUAACUGCCCAUAGCCCCGCCGUAAACCUCUCGCUAAUCUCUCUCUUAAUCUCUCCUAUUCCAGUUGCAGCCACACCGGCCCAAGCUCAUCCAGUUCCCACGCACCGCCCGGAGCUCCUCGCCCAGAUUUCCUUCUACCCCGCCUCGCACGCUGCUGCUUCCUGCUCUCCCCGCCGUCGAGCAGCACGGCCGCCCCGCCGGCCAGCUCCGCUCGCUGCUUCUCCAAACCACAUCAUCUUCUACACCUGUGCGACCCCCGGGCGACAACGCUGGUGCUCCAUCCUGGCGUGGAACGAUCCCUAUCCUCAUCUAUGAUUCCUGCUUUGCCAGGUCAAAUCAGGUGCUCAAAGGUCAUCGACGCCGCCUGGCUGACAUCCUAAUCAGUGGGACCGAGGAGUUCAAAGAUAAGGGGGCACAACAUGCAAAUGAGUCACGGCGGCAAGCAGGCGAAUCAGCAAUGGAAACUAGUGGCAAAACGUCCAUUGGUGAUGAAGACUACUGGUGCAAUGAGAACCUAGCUCAAGACAAUGGGCCUGCUUGCUUCCUAGCAAGCAACACGGCUGCUUCGUUAAGCUUCACGGAGCAAACAUGUAGCAAGUAGUAGGUAUUUUUUGCUUGGAAACAGGAAAUGACAUGCCUGCUUGUAAAUGUUCACGAAAGUGAACGAACAUGAAGCUAGUAGGAAGCAUGUAGCACCAAUGGCCAGCUUGAGGGGCCGCAUUGUCACAUCCCGUACAGAAGCAAGUAAGGAAACUAGUGGGAGAAUAUCCAAUUUGUAAGGAACGAUUCGAUGUAAAUUGUUUCUCAAAGAAGCAUAUUUGUUUGAAAAAAAAUUGAGCACAUUCA